rnacentral:lncRNA from 1 species
UUAGCAAAUUAAAUUUCUCUUGGUUUCAUGAUAUUCUCUUUUUUUCAUGUAUGGAUUAAAACUGAUCUCUUCUUAACUUUUUUGAUUAUACCUUCCUGAUUCUUUGUCAUAUUUUGUGAGAAAAUUCUCCAUGCUCUUCCAGUUUCUUUCUUCCCAGCUCUCGCUUCUCAAACUGGAACCUCAUAUGCCUUCUUGGGUAUUUUUCAAAACUGAGAUGGCAGUUUAGGGAAACUGAAAAAGCAUGCACUUUAGAUGGAGUUACUGAGAAUGAAAAUAAGGACUUGUCUCCAACACACAAAUCUGAAGAUGCUGUCAUGUGGGGGGAGUCUGCAGAAUUACACCACCAGUGCAGUAAGUUAGUAAAAGCUUUAGUCACUGGAAAUCUAUCACAAGGGAAAUGCUGUCAGUAUAAAGAAUGUGAGAAAGCCAUUUUUGACAUUAGAAAAUCUGCAAAAGCGAGAAACUGCAUACAUGUGAUGACUGUAAGGAGGCCUUCAUUCAUCAUGGAAACCUUCUAGAACAUUAUGUGAAGGAAGCAAGAAGGAAGGCCUUCAGCCAGAAGUCAGAACUGACUGCACUAUAGAUUCUACACGGGAGACAGAUCUACUAAAUGUGAUGAAUGUGGAAAUGUUUUCUAUGGAAUCAUAGCAUUAUUCAGCAUUGGGGAGAAGAUCACACUAAAGAAAAACUGAGUGUCAUGGGUUUGGAAAAGUCUUCAGAGGUUGGACCUUAGAAAAUAUCAGGGAGUCCAUAUUAGAGAGGCUCUUAUAAAUGAGAAGAUUGUAGGAAGUUGUAUGGACAGAUAUCAAGCCUCAACAAUAGAGUCUCCAUGAUAUUGGAAAAUUCAUAUAAUUAAUGUAAAUGGGCAAGAUGUAUGGGGAAUGGAUAUUUUAUAUUGCCCAUUGUAGCCACAAAGAACAUUCAGUGAAUUUCUCAAGUCAAGAAAAAGGAAAGUCAUAAGUUCUUUUUGCUUCCAAAAGGAGUCUAUAAACAUGAACGAUCAGGAGUUUUGAAAUGAAGAUGUUUACCUGCAUCCCUGGACUUGUGCUACUGUCUCCAAGAUGACUGUUGGGGACAUGGUAUUUUCCCAUGCCCACUCUAAUCUCACAUCUUAAAUUCAUUCAAGUGUAGAUAAUAUUGUCUACUGCUUGUUGUAAAUUAAUUCUUAUGGGCUAAAUAGGCUUGUAUGAGUACCCCAGGACAUAAAAAUGACAUUUGUAAAGCUUCAGUAAGCAUAAUGAGCCACGUCAUUGAAUUGUUAGUACUUUUUAAAAUUUGGCACUGCUUCUGUGUUCCAACACAAGGCCAAAGAGGUGUCCAUCACAGAGUAUAUAUUUCCCAGCUUUGUUUUUUUUUUUAAGAUAGAAAAUGAUAUUUCACAUAUAGCUUUGACAGAUAAUAGGUUAUUUUCUUUUAUAGAUAACACAAUAUAAUAUCCUGGAGGCUAAUAUUUUGAAGUAAUAUUACUUUCAGUUCUAAAACCUACAGGCUGAAAGAGGAAAGAAUCUAUCUAAGCUGUUCUUCAGCAAUUUGGCAGUAUAGCCCAAUCUCUAUGAGAAUGAAGCUUAUGGAUUUUAUAGUAGGUCAUUAAAUAUAGGAACCACAGAUUUCAAAAGAUUGCAAUGAUUAUUUCACAGUUAGGAGUUUAUAUCUGCUGCAAAUGCCUGAAUUUUCUGAGUAGAUAUUAUAGUCACUAUUUUAAAAGACAGACUGCAUUCUAUUAAAGACUUUUUCAGCAUUAUAGAAACUACAUUUUCCCCUUAAUUUUAUUAUCACCUUGUAUUACAUGAAAGGAUUUCCUAAUAUUGAACCAACCUUGCAUUCCUGAAAUAAAUUUCACUUAGUCAUGGUGUUUUCUUAAUGU